AUUUUUGUAUUCUUAGUGGAGACGGGGUUUCGCUAUGUUGGUCAGGCUGGUUUUGAACUCCUGAUUUCCGGUGAUCCACCACCCUCGGCCUUCCAAAGUGCUGGGAUUACAGGCGUGAGCCACCGCGCCUGGCCGGAAAUCAUGUAAUUUAAAACUAUAUAUGGGUGUCUUAGGCGGCAUCGGUCCCAACUCUAAAGUACGCGUUAGACGGGCCUGGGCCAGAAGUGGGCCAUGGAGACCUCGGGACCCGCAGGGCUGCCGCCCGACCCAGCGAGCCUCUGAAGGUGCACCGCCACCCCCACUGUUUAUCUUACUGCCUCAUAGUAGGCACAUUGUCGUUCUCAAUAUAAUUGCACACAGUUUUAUUCUGGAUCCUCAUUUGCCUUUAAGAAUUUUCUCAAUUUUUCUUUUUAUUUGAUCGCACCACUGCAACCUCCGCCUGCUGGGCUCAAGCAAUUCUCCUGCCGCAGCCUCCCGAGUAGCUGGGACUACAGGCGUGUACCACCGCGCCUGGCUUAUUUUUGUAUUUUUAGUAGAGACGGGAUUUCACCAUGUUGGCCAGGCUGGUCUCCAACGCCUGACCUUGUGGUCCGCCACGCCAGGCCGAAGAUUUUCAUAAUUUGGAAGCAUUGCGUUUCGUAAUUAUGCUUUCUCGUAUUUUUGUGAUUUGGGUCAUUUUUAUUUUUAUAUUUUUAGGAUUACAGGCGUGAGCCAUCGUGCCUGGCCGAUUUGGGGGUAAUUAACAAGUCCACGUGUUUCAUUUGAAUUUAGGAUAGCUGGGCCUAAUUGUUGUCUUUGCUUCUGCGGUACCUUCCACAUAGUACUAACCGCCUAUUGUAAAGUAAUUAGAAUAGCUGAAUAUGCAUGUUACCAGUCUAGAAACCGAUUUUUUUUUAACACCCCACUGUGGACAGGGUGGAAACUCGUUUGCUUUCUUGUUUAAGAUCUGUAGUAACAUGAAUGGAUGAAAUUGUUUCCUAUUGGAUUCUGUAAAUUUAUGCGUUACACUGAUUGUCCAACGUGGAUACACCCGGGAGGUCACUCUCCCCGGGCUCUGUCCAAGUGGCGUAGGGGAGCAUAGGGCUCUGCCCCAUGAUGUACAAGUCCCUUUCCACAACGUUGGAAAUAAAGCUGGGCCUCGUGUCUGCGCCUGCAUAUUCCUACAGCUUCCCAGAGUCCUGUCGACAAUUACUGGGGAGACAAACCAUGCAGGAAACAGCCUUCUAGAGCACUGAAUCUGGAUUGAAGUCUUUUUUUUUUUUUUUUUUUUUGGAGAUGGAGUCGCUCUGUUGCCCAGGCUGGAGUGCAGUGGCGCACUCCAUUGCCUCUGCCUCCCGGGUUCAAGUGAUUAUGCUAAGUGAUUCUCCUGCCUUGGCCUCCUGAGUAGCUGGGAUUACAGGCCCCCGCCACCACGCCAGGCUAAUUUUUGUAUUUUUAGUAAAGACAGGGUUUCACCAUGUUGGUCAGGCUGGUCUCAAACUCCUGACCUUGUGAUCCGCCAGCCUCUGGCCUCCCAAAAUGUUGGGAUUACAGGCGUGAGCCACCACACCUGGCUGGAUUGAAGUCUUAAUACAUGUUUAAGAAAAAUUGGCUAAAAAGUAGCCAGGCAUGAUGAUAGGUAGCUGGAGGAAGGAGAAUCGCUGGAGCCCAGGAGUGACCUAUACUCAAACCUAUACUCCAGUGCCACUGUACUCCAACCCCAGGCGAUAGCAUGAGGCCCCUCGUUGAAAAAGUUUAGGGUUUUGCUGUACUAAUAGAUUAAUAUCUUGUUUUGCAGGAUUUGUUAAGGAUUCCAAGUAACUCUUAUUUGGAGAGAAGACGAUCUGCACUUCGCAUUUUGGCAUUGACAUUUAAUUUUAGGGUCCUUUAUAUAGAAGGGAGAGUAGGUAAACUGAUUUUUUUUUUUAACAGGGAGGGUUUGACAAUCUUUGGCAGACUUGGAGCAAAAGAUUGAGGUGCAUUUCAUGCCUCCUUUUGAGAGUCUUGCUCUGUCGCCCAGGCUGUAGUGCAGUGGCGCAAUCUUGGCUGCAACCUCAGCCUCCCAAGUAGCUGGGAUUACAAACAUAAGCCACCACGCCCAGCCCUCAUACCUCUUUUAAAAGUCGACCUGUUUUGCAGAAAGUCUGCUGUUUUUGUACUAAAGGCUUUGGAAUUUGGCAUUUAGCUAGGAAUGCACAUUCUUUCACCUCAUUCAUACUUUAAGAACCACAGAAGUGACUCUGCUUGGCCAGAAGGCACACUGUGUUGGUGGUUAUAUUAAAAGUCCUUGAGUAUUUUGCUUUUCAUGAUCUUGCUCACUGCAACUUCCGCCUCCCAGGUUCAGGCGAUUCUCCUGCCUCAGCCUCCCAAGUAGCUGCGACUACAGGCGUGUAGCACCACACCUGGCUAAUUUUUGUAUUUUUAGUAGAGAUGAGGUUUCACCAUAUUGGCCAGGCUGUUCUCAACUCCUGACCUCGUGAUCCGCCCACCUCAGCCUCCUAAAGUGCUGGGAUUACAGCUGUGAGCCACCCUGCCCGGCCACUUUUGUAUGAUUUCUAAUGUAUUUGUAAUUUACCUAACAAAUUGCCUAAUCUGCUAUGUUAAUGUAUUUAUGAAUUAAAAUAAAUACGACUGC
rnacentral:lncRNA from 10 species